rnacentral:lncRNA from 1 species
CCAAUUUGUAUCCAAAAAGAGCAUACACAUAUUUAUUCAGUCCAAAAUUUUUGUUUGGUUAACGGAUUGAUUUAAAUUAUUCAAUCAAACUGUUGCUAAAACACAAGAAAAAAGUACAUACGGUUCUAUGAUACUAUGAAUUUAACAUGUUUAAGAAAAGAUUGAAAGACUUUUUUAUUCUAGUGUGAAACAGCUUCACUGCUCCUUUGUUUUAAGAAAUUAAUCCACAUUUUAGAGCAUCGGAUAUUUGAGCGAAAUCCUUUUUUUUUUUUGGUUAGGGCCUAUUUGACUGAUACUCUAGAACGGAAACCAUUGUAUUUGAAUUUUUUGGAGGUACAUACAAC